rnacentral:piRNA from 1 species
UAAGAGAUUCAGAGAAAUCUAGCACUAGGG